rnacentral:rRNA from 1 species
GACGAACGCUGGCGGCGUGCCUAACACAUGCAAGUCGAGGGAGUCCACCCUUUCGGGGGUGAGGCGACCGGCGGACGGGUGAGGAACACGUGAGCAACCUAUCCUGGUGCGGGGGACAACCCGGGGAAACCCGGGCUAAUACCGCAUGGGCGAGUCUUCUGCAUGGGGGACUUGGGAAAGCUGGCCUCUUAACAAUGCUAGCGUGCCGGGAGGGGCUCGCGGCCUAUCAGCUAGUUGGUGGGGUAAUGGCCCACCAAGGCAGCGACGGGUAGCGGGUCUGAGAGGACGACCCGCCACAUUGGGACUGAGACACGGCCCAGACUCCUACGGGAGGCAGCAGUGGGGAAUCUUGGGCCAAUGGCCGAAAGGCUGACCCAGCGACGCCGCGUGUGGGAGGAAGCCCUUCGGGGUGUAAACCACUGUCACCGGGGACGAACGACUCGGGCGUGAACAGCGUCCGGGUGUGACGGUACCCGGAGAGGAAGCGCCGGCUAACUCUGUGCCAGCAGCCGCGGUAAGACAGAGGGCGCGAGCGUUGUUCGGAAUCACUGGGCGUAAAGCGCGCGCAGGCGGACCCCGCCGUGCUUCGGCACGGCUUGUAAGUCUGGAGUGAAAUUCCGGGGCUCAACCCCGGCACGGCUCUGGAGACUGCGGGUCUGGAGACCGGUAGAGGCCGGUGGAACUUCCCGGUGUAGCGGUGGAAUGCGUAGAGCUCGGGGAAGAACACCAGUGGCGAAGGCGGCCGGCUGGGCCGGAUCUGACGCUGAGGCGCGAAAGCGUGGGGGAGCAAAGC